rnacentral:rRNA from 1 species
UACGGAGGGUGCGAGCGCUGUCCGGAUUUAUUGGGUUUAAAGGGUGCGUAGGUGGCCUAAUAAGUCAGUGGUGAAAUACGGUUGCUCAACAAUCGAGGUGCCAUUGAUACUGUAAGGCUUGAAAUAAUUGGAGGCUGCCGGAAUGGAUGGUGUAGCGGUGAAAUGCAUAGAUAUCAUCCAGAACACCGAUUGCGAAGGCAGGUGGCUACGAUUGGUUUGACACUGAGGCACGAAAGCAUGGGGAGCAAACGGG